rnacentral:lncRNA from 1 species
UUUUUUUCCAUAACAGAAGAUACGCAGGGGACUUGAGAACCAAGGCAAAGGACCUCGGGGGAGGUCACAAGCCCCCUAGCCGUGGCCUGGGGGGCGCGCCUAGCAGGCUUGUGGCCCCCCGUGCUCCUUUGCCCUACCUCUUCCACCUAUAAAUUCUCUAAAAAUCCAAAACCACGAGAGAGAGGCUCGAAAAUACUUUUCCGCAGCCGCAAACUUCUGUCUCCGCAAGAUCCCAUCCGGGGACCGUUCUGGUGCCCUGUCGGAGGGGAGAUUCGGACACGGAGGGCUUCUUCAUACACACCAUUGCCUGUCCGAUGAUGCGUGAGUAGUUCACCACAGACCUUCGGGUCCAUAGCUAGUAGCUAGAUGGCUUCUUCUCUCUCUUGGAUC